UUUCCAGUUGCAGAACCUAAAGGCCUCAGGCGGAAUGGAGGGCUGAGGCUGGUACAGAGAGGCUGGUUGAGAAGGACUGAAAAGGGGGAGUGUUUUUGAAGAGAGCAUUUCAGGAUCCCAGGAACAAGGGCCAUUCUGAGCAGAACAAAGCGGUCUCCUCAAGUCCUCAACAUGGACAAACAGUGACAUCGGACCCCUUCCACUUACUUCACCACACUCACUCUCUUGUAUCCACCCCACUCACAGAUCCAGGGUUGUGAUACUAUCUAGGCACCAUCCCUGUUACACUUAACACGGACUACUUCCCUAUCCAAAUACUCUACUUUGAUGUAACCUACCUUGCCUGUCCCCAAAAUUAAACUAAGACACGAAAUCA